CGACAACUACCUGGAGGGCACCGUCAUGGUGGAGGGCCUCGAGCAGCCGGUACUGAUCCAGGGCCGCUACAACCUGAACCGAGCCGUGCAGGACGACAUCGUGGCCGUGGAGCUGUUCCCGCGCGAUCGCUGGUCAGUGCCAUCCAACCUGGCCAUCGAGGACGUCGGCUUCGACAAUGAUUUCUCGUGCGAGCUGGGCUUCCCUCCGGAGUGUUGCCUGGGCCAGGCGGCGGC